ACACCCUGGACCCCCGCGGCGCAUCCCUCCCAUGGCUGUCAUGGCCGCCACGAUCUCCUCGCUGGCCCUCCCAGGCUGCCAGGCCUCAGCGCCAUUUUGAGCAUCUUCUUUGCUUCCCGGUCUCCCCCUCUGGCUCUCCCCGCGCCUCGCUUCGCCCUCCAAACCAAGAGAAUAUCCAUACCGGGCCAGAGACUUGGGGGACAGAUGAGAGAACCACCCCUCGAGGCUACCUGGAGCCGCGGCCGGGCAAGUGGUCCCUACGCAGCAGUCACCUUUGUACCACCCGGACUUUGCCAGCGUGGAGAGGGGCGGGGGAGGCCAACCAAGGAACGCAGGAAUGAAAAGAGUCGGGAUCGAGGGAGGAAAUGGAUUAGGGGAACUGCAGGUCGAUG